rnacentral:rRNA from 1 species
UACGUAGGGAGCAAGCGUUGUCCGGAUUCACUGGGCGUAAAGGGUGCGUAGGCGGAAGAAUAAGUCAGUGGUGAAAUCUUACGGCUCAACCGUGAAACUGCCAUUGAUACUGUUUUUCUUGAGUUCGGGAGAGGUUGAUGGAAUUCCAGGUGUAGCGGUGAAGUGCGUAGAUAUCUGGAAGAACACCAGUGGCGAAGGCGGUCAACUGGCCCGAAACUGACGCUGAGGCACGAAAGCGUGGGUAGCGAACAGG